rnacentral:rRNA from 1 species
AGCAGCCGCGGUAAUUCCAGCUCCAAUAGCGUAUAUUAAAGUUGUUGCAGUUAAAAGCUCGUAGUUGAAUUUCGGGAUCAAUAUGUUGGUCGUGCCUCGGUACGUACUAGCAUAUUGGUUUCUCCUUUCUGAAGAACCAUGACGUCAUUUAUUUGGUGUCGUGGGGAAUCAGGACUGUUACUUUAGAAAAAUUGAGUGUUUAAAGCAGGCUCACGCUUGAAUACAUUAGCAUGGAAUAAUGAAAUAGGACGUUUGAUUCUUAUUUUGUUGGUUUCUAGGAUCGACGUAAUGAUUAAUAGGGAUAGUUGGGGGCUAUUAGU